rnacentral:rRNA from 1 species
UACAGAGGGUGCAAGCGUUAUCCGGAUUUACUGGGUUUAAAGGGUGCGUAGGUGGGUUGGUAAGUCAGUGGUGAAAUACUUUCGCUUAACGAAGGAACUGCCAUUGAUACUACCAGUCUUGAAUACAGUGGAGGUAGGCGGAAUGCGUCAUGUAGCGGUGAAAUGCUUAGAUAUGACGCAGAACACCAAUUGCGAAGGCAGCUUGCUACACUGUUAUUUGACACUGAGGCACGAAAGCGUGGGGAUCAAACAGG